AUUAGGAAUCUUGCGCAAUGGGCGAAAGCCUGACGCAGCGACGCCGCGUGAGGGAUGACGGCCUUCGGGUUGUAAACCUCUUUUAAGGGGGAAGAAGCAAGUGACGGUACCCCUUGAAUAAGCCCCGGCUAACUACGUGCCAGCAGCCGCGGUAAUACGUAGGGGGCGAGCGUUGUCCGAAGUUACUGGGCGUAAAGCGCGCGUAGGCGGGCUACUAAGUUGGGUGUGAAAUCUUCGGGCUCAACCCGGAAACUGCACCCAAAACUGGUGGCCUUGAGGUAUGGAGAGGGAAGUGGAAUUCCUGGUGUAGCGGUGAAAUGCGUAGAUAUCAGGAGGAACACCCGUGGCGAAGGCGGCUUCCUGGCCAUAUCCUGACGCUGAGGUGCGAAAGCUAGGGGAGCGAACGGGAUUAGAUACCCGUGUAGUCC
rnacentral:rRNA from 1 species